UAUCGGUCGUAUACCAAUGUUAUAAGAAACGUUUUCAAAUUGUUCCGCUUUCCAAAGGAUUAGCGUGGCCAACAAUUGAAUUAAAUGGUUAGGGGUGUUUCCUUUUUCAUUACUGACGAGAAUGAAUGAAAAUGAAUCCUCUUUGUUAGACCAGCUCUGCGGGUAAAAUUUGUUUUCAGUAUCAAUGGUUUUGGUAAGAAUGAAUGUUACAUGCUAUACCCAGUUUUCCUUCAGUACAAACGUUUGACUCAAACAGAGGACGAGAAUUUAUGAGAGUUGACAAGCUAACAGUGGUGCCUAAAUUACUUUGAAUUUGUACUCGAGUAAAAGUAGAAGUAAUUAACAAUAAAACGACUUGAGUAAGAGUAAAAAGUACUGGAGGCAAAACUGAUUUAAGUAAAAAUUACAAAGUAUCCUUAAAACAGACUUGAAGUAAAAAGUAAAAGUAUGUUUCAUGUAUAUAUAUAGAAUUAGCCUUCUCCGCAGGCAACUCUUGUUUCCCACAAAUCCCAAAUAUAUACCGACCUUUCAACUAGAAGAGAAUCGAAUUUAUUCACGCUAUCAAUCCAUAUCGAAAGUUUGGGGACGCCUGCCCGCAUUAACCACCACAUAGAACAACAUUUGUAUCGCAAUGUCCCCUUAUGUUUCCUAAUGUAGUCAUACAAAUUCGACAAAUUAAAAAUAUUGUCUCUUCUGGUUGAAAGGUCGGUAUAUAUUUGGGAGCUAGUGGGAAACAAGAGUUGCCUGCGGAGGAGGCUAAUAUAGAAUCGCUUUAAUUUAAUAUAAUGACGUUUGUGUCCAACCUCGUCCCCAGGGUCCGCGCGCCAUCACGAGGAAGACCCUGGGGACGAGGUUGUGUAUCUUAUAAUUUAGUUAACCAAACAUUUCACAUGGGCAUGGCUGUUCAAUUUAAGACUAUUGUAACUACAAGACAAAUUUCUAUUUGUAACCAUUUGUCCUUACGACUAAAGGGGUGAAAUUUCUAGGGGGUGAUAAUCCUAGGAAAUUCGCCCUCCGGGAGGACGAUAUUACUAGGAAAUUCGCCACCGGCAUCGAUUAAGUUUGUUCCCACCGGAUAUUUGACAGUAAAAUGCAAGCGGGAAAUUUGGAAGGUGUGCAUUUUUGACUUGCUGAAAGAUAUUUAUGAUAAUCAUGUGUAAAUGUACUGUAGAUAUGAAGCACGUGGUAUAACCAAGAAGAUAUGCAUCUGUAUCUUUGCGUGGUUAAAUACCGUAAUUCACAUUUUCAUGUGUUGUAGCCAUAAGUUCUUGGUGUACUAGAAACGGCAUGCAUGUGAAUUAUCAACAUAAACUUUUAAUAUUAUUAAUAUAAUUCAAAUAGUAGCUAAGUUUGCUAUAAUUAAUUCAUAGAGUCGAGUAUCAUUAAAAUUGUUAUUAUUAUAACAUUAUCACAACAACAUUCAGUGAUCUUUUUUUUAGUUUUUGGUGGGGCACAGAGUCACAUUGAGAUUUGAGAAUUAUUCAAUUUGAAUAAAAACCGUUUCCUUCAUGACGUACGGUAACUUUUGAUAUACAAUAUAUACCAUUUUACAUUGGGCUUCCAUG
rnacentral:lncRNA from 1 species